UAGUUUUAGUGGGGACCACACGAUCUGAAGUAAACAGAAUUCUUUUUAUAAUUUUCUGAUUUGAAAAGAUCAUCAUUUAACAAUGAGUCAAUGAAGACAACAAAAAAAGCCCUUCCAAUUUAUAUCCAAAAUUAAUAAGAGCAGUGCAGCUUUAAAUACGAGUAUUUUUGUUUUUUUGUUUUUUUUUUUUUUUUUAAAUAAAUAAGAUUUUCAUAGUUUAUUUAACCUUAAAAAAUCUCAGUUUCUAGGGUUUUAGGAAGCAAAAAUUAUUUGCAGAGAAAAAAAAAAUCAAGAAUGGAGGGAAGACCAAAAUGUUUCUUGGAUAUUAGUAUUGGAGGAGAACUUGAAGGAAGGAUUGUUGUGGAGUUGUACAAUAAUGUAGUUCCUAAAACUGCUGAAAAUUUUAGGGCUCUUUGUACUGGUGAAUUGGGUAUUUCCCCUAUUUCUGGCCGUCCUCUUCACUUCAAGGGUAUACCUUUCCAUCGUAUUGUGAAAGGAGCACUUAUUCAAGGUGGAGACAUAUCUGGGGGCGAGAGUGGUGGAGAGUCCAUCUAUGGUUCAACGUUUGAAGAUGAAAAUUUUGAGCUGAGGCAUGAAAGGAAAGGAAUGCUGUCCAUGGUUAACGUUGGGCCUAAUACAAAUGGAUCUCAAUUCUUUAUUACUACUACUCAAACUCAUCAGUAUAACGGUAAGCAUGUUGUGUUUGGAAGAGUGAUCAAAGGUUUGGGUGUUAUACGUUCAAUCGAGCAUGUUGAUGUUGAUCCUGAUAAUGGGCCGUUGCUUGAUAUUGUCAUCGAGGAUUGUGGAGAGAUUCCCGAGGGGGAAGAUUAUGGCAUUAUCAACUUUUUCAAAGAUGGGGACACUUACCCUGACUGGCCAUCUGACCUUGAUUCCAAAUCAGAUGAUUUCACUUGGUGGGUUACUGCAGCAGAUUGCAUCAAGGUUUUUGGCAAUGAGAGGUUUAAGAAGCAAGACUAUAAGAUGGCUAUUCGAAAAUAUCUAAAAGCUAUGCGGUAUUUGGAUAUGUGCUGGGACAUGGAAUCGUUAGAUGGAGAAAAGAGUUUAUCUUUGAGGAAAAUGAGAUCUCAGUUAUACACUAAUACUGCGGCCUGUAAGUUGAAGAUGGAAGAUAUAGAAGGAGCCUUGUGGGAUACUGACUUUGCACUUCGCGACGAAGAAGAAAAUGUGAAGGCUCACUUCCGAAGGGGUCAGGCAUUUAUUGCUCUUGGUGACAUAGAUUCAGCAGCUGAAUGCUACGAGAAGGCUUUGGAACUUGAACCGAAUGAUGGUGGCAUAAAGAGAGAACUUACUGCCACGAAAAAGAAGAUUGCUGAUCGACACAGUAAAGAGAAGAAAACCUACACUAGAAUGUUCAUGUGAAAUUCAGGGAUGCUGAGUGGUAUGUGAGAAGUUUAAGUAGCCCACCUUGCUUUCUUUUGCUCCAGGACUAGUAGAAUGGUUUUCAUGAAGGGAAGAUUUUUCACUUGAUUGGAUGAGCAUAGAUGAUGGGCUUGAUAUCUUAAAUUUUGUAUAGGUGGUAAAAUAGGAAAAAUUUGCAAAGUUUAGAAUAUAUGUACCAACUUUUGAUGUACAUUUUAGCAACCUAAACCAUCUGAAAUGGAACUAUCUUCCCUUUAUAGUUAUGAUUUGCUCAAUUCAUUUACAUGUUUUAUUCUCCUU